rnacentral:rRNA from 1 species
AAAUUGAAGAGUUUGAUCAUGGCUCAGAUUGAACGCUGGCGGCAGGCCUAACACAUGCAAGUCGAGCGGCAGCGGGAAAGUAGCUUGCUACUUUUGCCGGCGAGCGGCGGACGGGUGAGUAAUGCCUGGGGAUCUGCCCAGUCGAGGGGGAUAACAGUUGGAAACGACUGCUAAUACCGCAUACGCCCUACGGGGGAAAGGAGGGGACCUUCGGGCCUUUCGCGAUUGGAUGAACCCAGGUGGGAUUAG